AUGACGAACGCUGGCGGCGUGCCUAAUACAUGCAAGUAGAACGCUGAAGAGAGGAGCUUGCUCUUCUUGGAUGAGUUGCGAACGGGUGAGUAACGCGUAGGUAACCUGCCUUGUAGCGGGGGAUAACUAUUGGAAACGAUAGCUAAUACCGCAUAACAAUGGAUGACACAUGUCAUUUAUUUGAAAGGGGCAAUUGCUCCACUACAAGAUGGACCUGCGUUGUAUUAGCUAGUAGGUGAGGUAACGGCUCACCUAGGCGACGAUACAUAGCCGACCUGAGAGGGUGAUCGGCCACACUGGGACUGAGACACGGCCCAGACUCCUACGGGAGGCAGCAGUAGGGAAUCUUCGGCAAUGGGGGCAACCCUGACCGAGCAACGCCGCGUGAGUGAAGAAGGUUUUCGGGUCGUAAAGCUCUGUUGUAAGUCAAGAACGAGUGUGAGAGUGGAAAGUUCACACUGUGACGGUAGCUUACCAGAAAGGGACGGCUAACUACGUGCCAGCAGCCGCGGUAAUACGUAGGUCCCGAGCGUUGUCCGGAUUUAUUGGGCGUAAAGCGAGCGCAGGCGGUUUGAUAAGUCUGAAGUUAAAGGCUGUGGCUCAACCAUAGUUCGCUUUGGAAACUGUCAAACUUGAGUGCAGAAGGGGAGAGUGGAAUUCCAUGUGUAGCGGUGAAAUGCGUAGAUAUAUGGAGGAACACCGGUGGCGAAAGCGGCUCUCUGGUCUGUAACUGACGCUGAGGCUCGAAAGCGUGGGGAGCGAACAGGAUUAGAUACCCUGGUAGUCCACGCCGUAAACGAUGAGUGCUAGGUGUUGGAUCCUUUCCGGGAUUCAGUGCCGCAGCUAACGCAUUAAGCACUCCGCCUGGGGAGUACGACCGCAAGGUUGAAACUCAAAGGAAUUGACGGGGGCCCGCACAAGCGGUGGAGCAUGUGGUUUAAUUCGAAGCAACGCGAAGAACCUUACCAGGUCUUGACAUCCCGAUGCUAUUUCUAGAGAUAGAAAGUUACUUCGGUACAUCGGUGACAGGUGGUGCAUGGUUGUCGUCAGCUCGUGUCGUGAGAUGUUGGGUUAAGUCCCGCAACGAGCGCAACCCCUAUUGCUAGUUGCCAUCAUUCAGUUGGGCACUCUAGCGAGACUGCCGGUAAUAAACCGGAGGAAGGUGGGGAUGACGUCAAAUCAUCAUGCCCCUUAUGACCUGGGCUACACACGUGCUACAAUGGUUGGUACAACGAGUUGCGAGUCGGUGACGGCAAGCUAAUCUCUUAAAGCCAAUCUCAGUUCGGAUUGUAGGCUGCAACUCGCCUACAUGAAGUCGGAAUCGCUAGUAAUCGCGGAUCAGCACGCCGCGGUGAAUACGUUCCCGGGCCUUGUACACACCGCCCGUCACACCACGAGAGUUUGUAACACCCGAAGUCGGUGAGGUAACCUUUUGGAGCCAGCCGCCUAA
rnacentral:rRNA from 1 species